AAGUUACAUACUCUUACAACACAACUCACCAGCACUUAUGGGUUAGACUGGCAACAUACUGUCUAUCCUGAGAGAGGACAGCAUGUAAAUGGGAUGACCUCUGGCUAAAGCCCAUCUUCCUUCCUAAACGCUCUCUUCCAGCCCUAGCAACGGAAGUCUCAAGCUCUUGUCUGAGCAUCUGAGUGACCACAUGAAGGACUCCUCCACAGCCCCCAGCAACAGACACUGGGUGAAGAAGACAGAGCACAAAUUUAAUUCAUCCACUCUUCCUCUACCUGCCUUUGCGCCCCAGACACCUUCAAGGGAAAGGAGAGGACAUUUCUGUGGAGCAGUUCUCCCUCUCUUUCUCUGCUCACACUGGGAUUUGCAGACAUGUCCCUGGGUAUCACGAUGGAGGCGGGUGUACAACACCUUGAAGAUGCACAGGAGUGUGCUUAGCAUAGAGUCAUCCAGGUUAUUACACCGCACAAAUCAACGUCAAUGGGAUUCUGCAGAUUUGUUAGAUGUCUCUUAGUUUCCUGUGACCAGGACAGCUGCCUUGUGGUCGACAUUAAGGAUCAUUGUUCUCCUGACUCUCAGCGUGUCACAUGGCGGGUGUGGGAGCUUUGUGAUUUUGCAUGUUCAGCCUCUGGCUUCAGCCCUCCCUCCAUUACGGCAUCAUAGGACAACUUCAGUCCAUGCCAGGCACUAGCCUCAUUCUGCCUUCUGACCUGUUCUAGCACUGGGAAGCACUAUUCAGUAUAGCAGUCAUGAUUUGGUAUUCAGAAACCCUUUCCCUUGUUGUUGUCUUUUUUUUCUACCGCUCCUUUCCACGUGCUCCCCUACCAACAUCAUGUGCUCAUUGUAACCUUUAUGAAUGCAUUCAACCUUCUGGGUACGCUGACCAUUCACCCCUGCUUCACCUGACAUGCCCGUUACUUUCCUAUAUAUAGGCAAUAUGUCAUGCAUCCACAGUUUCACAAGCUUUGAAUUUUGUUUGCUGAAUCGCCAAAAUUUUAUGUCACCUCCUCUACCGCCCUUUACAGGGAAGAAUAUUCCUAACAGAAACUACCCUUGGUGGUCUACAUUUGGUGAUUUAAUUGGAAAUAAGGAGGUUACAAUAGCCAAAGAUUAUGCGGAUUAAAGUUCAGACACCAUAGCAAAAGGGACUUCGGAAAACAGUAAGAUUAAUAGGUUUCGGGAAAAAAGAAUCAUACGAUGAAAUCUGUUAUAAUGGGGAUACACUAUCAGAAGAGAGGUGGUGGAAGCUUCCCCAGUUAGGAAAUUUUUAGCAGAAAUUGACAAUUCAAAAACUAAUCAUAGAUAAGAUUGUACAUCAGCCAGAAGAGUGAGAAGACGAUGAGGCUUAUAAGUUUCUCACGCUGUGAUCUGUUUAAGAACACAAGUGGGCUACCUACUACUGUACUUUAUGCUUCCCCAGACAAAGUCAAACUAUUGCCCAUGUAAAUACACUGAGCAGAGCAGAGGUUAGACAUUCUGUUCCUCUCUGUAAUGGGAUGUGGUUGGUGGAAGCGCACAGAUUAGCAGACAAAGCCAUGCCUAAUGUUAUUAGCCGAAUGCUUUCACGGAGCUAUGGCAUUAUGGAACUUCAGCAGAAAUGUAAGUCUCACUGACCAAACUGAUGGUCUUACUGGGUUAACAGAAAAAUAAUUGCUUUUCUUUUCAGCCCUGCCUAAAAGAUCAUGGAGUUUCAGGCCCUAGGCAUUCUAAUAACAGCAUUAGCAAAUAAAAUGCAUCCGUAUGUAUAUGUAUAUGUAUAUGUAUAUGUAUAUGUAUAUGUAUAUGUAUAUGUAUAUGUAAAUAUAUAGAGAAAUUC